AUAUAUAUAUAUAUAUAUGUGUGUGUGUGUGUGUGUGUGUAUAUAUAUAUACCUACAUAUACACACACAUAUACAUACAUACACACAUAC
rnacentral:miRNA from 1 species